rnacentral:rRNA from 1 species
GAUGAACGCUGGCGGCGUGCCUAAUACAUGCAAGUCGAGCGAACGGACGAGAAGCUUGCUUCUCUGAUGUUAGCGGCGGACGGGUGAGUAACACGUGGAUAACCUACCUAUAAGACUGGGAUAACUUCGGGAAACCGGAGCUAAUACCGGAUGAUAUUUUGAACCGCAUGGUUCAAAAGUGAAAGACGGUCUUGCUGUCACUUAUAGAUGGAUCCGCGCUGCAUUAGCUAGUUGGUAAGGUAACGGCUUACCAAGGCAACGAUGCAUAGCCGACCUGAGAGGGUGAUCGGCCACACUGGAACUGAGACACGGUCCAGACUCCUACGGGAGGCAGCAGUAGGGAAUCUUCCGCAAAGGGCGAAAGCCUGACGGAGCAACGCCGCGUGAGUGAUGAAGGUCUUCGGAUCUUAAAACUCUGUUAUUAGGGAAGAACAUAUGUGUAAGUAACUGUGCACAUCUUGACGGUACCUAAUCAGAAAGCCACGGCUAACUACGUG